ACAAGAUUACCGAUGAGAAUGUUAAUGUCAAAUAAAAGUUAAUAUAUUAACAAAACUCCUUUUGAACGGCAUAGAAUAACGAAACUGGGAACUGAUAUCCUUGGCAACGUCUGUGUUCAAACUCCACGCCUGCCGCGCGUCACUCCCCCUCCUCCGAGUGCACAUGCUGCUUUCCAGCGGCUGUACACACGAUCAAAAGCUGCUGCUCGUGGCCCCCGAUAGCGGCUCCAUGGAAGAGACCAUUUCCUCCGCCGGCAGCGACAACAGCACAGCGGCAACAACAACAACCACAACGGCAAUGGGGCAAUGUGUGCAAGUGCGUGGCUGCGGGCAGAGCGGCGGCAGCGAAGCCGGCAGCGUUGAAUCGAAAAGUACAGUCGAAAACAAACACAACAACAUGGCAGCAGAGAAGGCGGCAGCGACGCGACGUCGACGCGGCGUAAACAUUCCGAUCGCCAACUGCAAUGCUUACCAUUCCUGGCCACGGAGUGAAGCCCUUCAUUUUGGCCCUGCAAAGAAAAUGCGCUAUCAGAACAGGGAAAACUCAUAUUGGCCGCAAGGAGGAAAAGCAAGAAAAAAGGGCGCGCGCGCGAAAAAAGCGCCAACGCAGCGAAGUCGACGUCGCGCGCCCGGAAUCCACGCACGUAGCUCCGGAAUUAUGGUCGUCAUUCGGAUGGAGCUACAUGGAUACUGCGCUGCGUGGCUGUCAAAAAGGCAGCGCUAAUUGCUUUUUU
ensembl:ncRNA asRNA:CR44873 antisense RNA:CR44873